rnacentral:rRNA from 1 species
UACGGAGGGUGCGAGCGUUGUCCGGAAUCACUGGGCGUAAAGGGCGCGUAGGCGGCCUGAUAAGUAGGGGGUGAAAUCUUGCGGCUUAACCGCAAGGCUGCCUUCUAAACUGUCAGGCUAGAGCACAGUAGAGGCAGGUGGAAUUCCCGGUGUAGCGGUGGAAUGCGUAGAGAUCGGGAGGAACACCAGUGGCGAAGGCGGCGACCUGGGCCAAUAUUGACGCUGAGGUGCGAAAGGCGUGGGGAGCAAACAGG